rnacentral:lncRNA from 1 species
UAGGUUCUUGUUAAAUUGUGUUUAUUGUAGUUACAUUGUGUUUCAGUAUCUUCAUUUUGAUUUGGUGCUUACCAGCAAACUUUUUAAGAAUACAUGAUUCCUUGCUCUCUGAUACCUGUGCCAGUGUUAAGUUCUCACCUUCCUGUAAAGCCCCCGUGUGCUAAAUGAUAAUUUUGAAAGCAGCAUUCAAGACAAAGCUUAAGUCCAAAACUAUCUGAAGCAAAACAUAAUGUGUUUAUUUGUUUACAAGUUGAAAUAGUGAAAGCGUACAUCCUCCAUUUACUAUAGAUAAUGAUCACAAGUCUUUAAUUGAGAUAGUUCAUCACAGUUUUGAAGGUAAUUAUAUAACUAUUGCCUCUCAAGACAGUAUUUUAGAUACCUGUGUUUGUUGUAGUUUAAUGUGCUUUUGUGAGCCUUAAAAUGAAAUGUAUGAACCAAGGCAAAAAGCCCUGUCUAUAAAAGUAAAUUAUGACCAUUUAUAAAGAAUAAACAAAGCCACAGACUGUACAUUAAAAAAUUCCAUCCACAGCAUGUUUUUAUAGUUUCUCCAUUGCUUAGCCUAAAUGUAGUUUUGUUUUCUCCAGAGAGAACUCAGUGAAAAUAUCCCAGAAUUCCAUUACAGAGUAGCCAAAAAUCAUGGAUAAAUAUCAUUUUUAUAUUUAAUAGGGGAAGACAUGUAUCAUAAUUGUUUUAUUGGGUUUGUGUCAUCAUGCAAUACAUUUAAUGGUUAAUGCUUGUUACUCAAAUUAUACUGAUAAUAUAUUUGGAAACACAAAAUUUAGUUUUACUGCUUAAGUUCAGUGUUAACUGCUAAAAUCCCCAGACUUAGAAACUGGAAACUCACUGAGGUGCUUUAAAAAGAUCAGUGAAGCAGAUUUUUGCAUGAGGCAAAGUCUGAAUUUACUUAGACUUUGCCUGUAAAAUAAGCCAUGGUUUGAAAUUAGCUCAGGAUCAGAAUAAGGAUGUUCCUUAUUCUGCAACACACAGUCAUGGAAAUUAUGGAUUUUCAUCAAGUAAAUUAACAUUUCUAAAGCAAAUGAAGAUAACAUUAAAAUUUACAUGUUAAAUUUAGAAGUAAAUUUUGAGCUCUGGUUAUGUGAAAUAAGGUUUGAUAGGUAAAGUUAGAAUUAGCAGGUUCAGGAAGAAACUAAAAGGAAGGAGACUGAGCCUCUGACAGAUAAGCUUUACUCCAGCCAGUACACAGCUGGCCCUACAGACUACCCAGGGAAACAGCCCCUGUGGACAAGUGAAAAAAGAGCUGGCCUUUCUAAUCAAUCACUUCUGACAGAAGCAUCUUAAAUACAGCAGUUAAAUCUUUGACAGCCAGAUGAUAACAUAGUUACUCUAAUAUGAUGUCCUGCUUAACCAAAUUGUACAUUUUGCAAAUGCAGACCGCAAAGCAUUUUUGUAAUUCCUAAUGGUAUUCUACUAUGUUUCAUAUGGCAAUGUCAGUGGUACUCAUAAGCAUUAUAAAUAAAUACAGUAAACACUAU